GGUUAAGUUAGAAAGGGCGCACGGUGGAUGCCUUGACACUAGGAGUCGAUGAAGGACGGGACUAACGCCGAUAUGCUUCGGGGAGCUGUAAGUAAGCUUUGAUCCGAAGAUUUCCGAAUGGGGAAACCCACCAUACGUAAUGGUAUGGUAUCCUUAUCUGAAUACAUAGGGUAAGGAAGACAGACCCAGGGAACUGAAACAUCUAAGUACCUGGAGGAAGAGAAAGCAAAUGCGAUUUCCUGAGUAGCGGCGAGCGAAACGGAACAUAGCCCAAACCAAGAGGCUUGCCUCUUGGGGUUGUAGGACAUUCUAUACGGAGUUACAAAGGAACGAGGUAGACGAAGCGACCUGGAAAGGUCCGUCGUAGAGGGUAACAACCCCGUAGUCGAAACUUCGUUCUCUCUUGAAUGUAUCCUGAGUACGGCGGAACACGUGAAAUUCCGUCGGAAUCUGGGAGGACCAUCUCCCAAGGCUAAAUACUCCCUAGUGAUCGAUAGUGAACCAGUACCGUGAGGGAAAGGUGAAAAGCACCCCGGAAGGGGAGUGAAAGAGAUCCUGAAACCGUGUGCCUACAAAUAGUCAGAGCCCGUUAACGGGUGAUGGCGUGCCUUUUGUAGAAUGAACCGGCGAGUUACGAUCCCGUGCGAGGUUAAGCUGAAGAGGCGGAGCCGCAGCGAAAGCGAGUCUGAAUAGGGCGUUUAGUACGUGGUCGUAGACCCGAAACCAGGUGAUCUACCCAUGUCCAGGGUGAAGUUCAGGUAACACUGAAUGGAGGCCCGAACCCACGCACGUUGAAAAGUGCGGGGAUGAGGUGUGGGUAGCGGAGAAAUUCCAAUCGAACCUGGAGAUAGCUGGUUCUCCCCGAAAUAGCUUUAGGGCUAGCCUUAAGUGUAAGAGUCUUGGAGGUAGAGCACUGAUUGGACUAGGGGUCCUCAUCGGAUUACCGAAUUCAGUCAAACUCCGAAUGCCAAUGACUUAUCCUUAGGAGUCAGACUGCGAGUGAUAAGAUCCGUAGUCAAAAGGGAAACAGCCCAGACCGCCAGCUAAGGUCCCAAAGUGUGUAUUAAGUGGAAAAGGAUGUGGAGUUGCUUAGACAACUAGGAUGUUGGCUUAGAAGCAGCCACCAUUUAAAGAGUGCGUAAUAGCUCACUAGUCGAGUGACUCUGCGCCGAAAAUGUACCGGGGCUAAAUACACCACCGAAGCUGCGGAUUGAUACCGAAUGGUAUCAGUGGUAGGGGAGCGUUCUAAGGACAGUGAAGUCAGACCGGAAGGACUGGUGGAGUGCUUAGAAGUGAGAAUGCCGGUAUGAGUAGCGAAAGACGGGUGAGAAUCCCGUCCACCGAAUGCCUAAGGUUUCCUGAGGAAGGCUCGUCCGCUCAGGGUUAGUCAGGACCUAAGCCGAGGCCGACAGGCGUAGGCGAUGGACAACAGGUUGAUAUUCCUGUACCACCUCUUUAUCGUUUGAGCAAUGGAGGGACGCAGAAGGAUAGAAGAAGCGUGCGAUUGGUUGUGCACGUCCAAGCAGUUAGGCUGAUAAGUAGGCAAAUCCGCUUAUCGUGAAGGCUGAGCUGUGAUGGGGAAGCUCCUUAUGGAGCGAAGUCUUUGAUUCCCCGCUGCCAAGAAAAGCUUCUAGCGAGAUAAAAGGUGCCUGUACCGCAAACCGACACAGGUAGGCGAGGAGAGAAUCCUAAGGUGUGCGAGAGAACUCUGGUUAAGGAACUCGGCAAAAUGACCCCGUAACUUCGGGAGAAGGGGUGCUUUCUUAACGGAAAGCCGCAGUGAAUAGGCCCAAGCGACUGUUUAGCAAAAACACAGCUCUCUGCGAAGCCGUAAGGCGAAGUAUAGGGGGUGACACCUGCCCGGUGCUGGAAGGUUAAGGAGAGGGGUUAGCGUAAGCGAAGCUCUGAACUGAAGCCCCAGUAAACGGCGGCCGUAACUAUAACGGUCCUAAGGUAGCGAAAUUCCUUGUCGGGUAAGUUCCGACCCGCACGAAAGGUGUAACGAUUUGGGCACUGUCUCAACCAGAGACUCGGUGAAAUUAUAGUACCUGUGAAGAUGCAGGUUACCCGCGACAGGACGGAAAGACCCCGUGGAGCUUUACUGUAGCCUGAUAUUGAAUUUUGGUACAGUUUGUACAGGAUAGGUGGGAGCCUUUGAAACGUGAGCGCUAGCUUACGUGGAGGCGCUGGUGGGAUACUACCCUAGCUGUGUUGGCUUUCUAACCCGCACCACUUAUCGUGGUGGGAGACAGUGUCAGGCGGGCAGUUUGACUGGGGCGGUCGCCUCCUAAAAGGUAACGGAGGCGCUCAAAGGUUCCCUCAGAAUGGUUGGAAAUCAUUCAUAGAGUGUAAAGGCAUAAGGGAGCUUGACUGCGAGACCUACAAGUCGAGCAGGGUCGAAAGACGGACUUAGUGAUCCGGUGGUUCCGCAUGGAAGGGCCAUCGCUCAACGGAUAAAAGCUACCCCGGGGAUAACAGGCUUAUCUCCCCCAAGAGUUCACAUCGACGGGGAGGUUUGGCACCUCGAUGUCGGCUCAUCGCAUCCUGGGGCUGUAGUCGGUCCCAAGGGUUGGGCUGUUCGCCCAUUAAAGCGGUACGCGAGCUGGGUUCAGAACGUCGUGAGACAGUUCGGUCCCUAUCCGUCGUGGGCGUAGGAAAUUUGAGAGGAGCUGUCCUUAGUACGAGAGGACCGGGAUGGACAUACCUCUGGUGUACCAGUUGUCGUGCCAACGGCAUAGCUGGGUAGCUAUGUAUGGACGGGAUAAGUGCUGAAAGCAUCUAAGCAUGAAGCCCCCCUCAAGAUGAGAUUUCCCAACUUCGGUUAUAAGAUCCCUCAAAGAUGAUGAGGUUAAUAGGUUCGAGGUGGAAGCGUGGUGACACGUGGAGCUGACGAAUACUAAUCGAUCGAAGACUUAAUCAA
rnacentral:rRNA from 1 species